rnacentral:rRNA from 1 species
UACGUAGGGUGCGAGCGUUAAUCGGAAUUACUGGGCGUAAAGUGUGCGCAGGCGGCAGAGCAAGUCGAGUGUGAAAGCCCCGGGCUUAACUUGGGAAUUGCGCUCGAAACUACUUUGUUGGAGUGUGGCAGAGGCAGGUGGAAUUCCGGGUGUGAGCGGUGGAAUACGUAGAGAUCCGGAAGAACACCGGUGGCGAAGGCGGCCUGCUGGGCUAUGGCUGACACUGAGGCGCGACAGCGUGGGAGCAACAGG